rnacentral:tRNA from 1 species
GCCCGGGUGGCGGAAUGGCAGACGCGGCAGACUCAAAAUCUGCUAUCAGGAAUGGUGUGGGGGUUCAAGUCCCUUCCCGGGCA